rnacentral:rRNA from 1 species
UACGGAGGGUGCAAACGUUGCUCGGAAUCAUUGGGCGUAAAGCGCGCGUAGGCGGCCCGGUAAGUCCGCUGUGAAAGUCAAAGGCUCAACCUUUGAAUGUCAGCGGAUACUGCCGGGCUAGAGUCCGGAAGAGGCGAGUGGAAUUCCUGGUGUAGCGGUGGAAUGCGCAGAUAUCAGGAGGAACACCAACGGCGAAGGCAGCUCGCUGGGACGGUACUGACGCUGAGGCGCGAAAGCGUGGGGAGCGAACAGG